GACGAACCGAGCGAACGUUGUUCGGAAUCACUGGGCUUAAAGGGUGCGUAGCGGGCUGCCAAGUUUGGGGUGAAAUCCUCCGGCUCAACCGGGGAAGUGCCUUGAAUACUGGCGGUCUCGAGUCCGGGAGAGGUGAGUGGAACUGCGAGUGUAGAGGUGAAAUUCGUAGAUAUUCGCAAGAACACCAGUGGCGAAGGCGGCUCACUGGCCCGGUACUGACGCUGAGGUGCGAAAGCGUGGGGAGCAAACAGGG
rnacentral:rRNA from 1 species